AUUGAACGCUGGCGGCAUGCUUUACACAUGCAAGUCGAACGGUAACAGGCCGCAAGGUGCUGACGAGUGGCGAACGGGUGAGUAAUGCAUCGGAACGUGCCCAGUCGUGGGGGAUAACUGCUCGAAAGAGCAGCUAAUACCGCAUAAGACCCAUGGAUGAAAGCGGGGGACCGUACGGCCUCGCGCGCUUGGAGCGGCCGAUGUGAGAUUAGGUAGUUGGUGGGGUAAAGGCUCACCAAGCAAACGAUCUGUAGCUGGUCUGAGAGGACGACCAGCCACACUGGGACUGAGACACGGCCCAGACUCCUACGGGAGGCAGCAGUGGGGAAUUUUGGACAAUGGGGGCAACCCUGAUCCAGCAAUGCCGCGUGCAGGAAGAAGGCCUUCGGGUUGUAAACUGCUUUUGUACGGAACGAAACGGUCUGGGUUAAUACCCUGGGCUAAUGACGGUACCGUAAGAAUAAGCACCGGCUAACUACGUGCCAGCCGCCGCCGUAACAC
rnacentral:rRNA from 1 species